rnacentral:rRNA from 1 species
UACGUAGGGUGCAGGCGUUAAUCGGAAUUACUGGGCGUAAAGCGUGCGCAGGCGGUUUCUUAAGUCAGAUGUGAAAGCCCCGGGCUUAACCUGGGAACUGCGUUUGUGACUGCAAGGCUGGAGUGCGGCAGAGGGGGAUGGAAUUCCGCGUGUAGCAGUGAAAUGCGUAGAUAUGCGGAGGAACACCGAUGGCGAAGGCAAUCCCCUGGGCCUGCACUGACGCUCAUGCACGAAAGCGUGGGGAGCAAACAGG